GCGGCGGCGCCGGCGGCGGGCGGGCGGCGGGCGGCGCAGUGCGGUCGGAGCCCGGUAGGACCGCGGGACCGUCCUCCGCAGCCAUUGGCCCGCACUGCCGGCCCCCGCCGCCGCUCAUUGGUCGCCACGCUGCACCAUUGUUACGUCACCAGCCGGUGGGCGGGGCGCCCGGCCAGACCCGCGGAAAAGUUGGGAGAAACUUGCGGGCGCGCGGGGGGGCGGGGCUGGCACAGGCCGAUGCGGGGCGGGGCUCCCGGAAACCCGAGCUGCGGGCGAGGAAAGGCCCCCCGGCGGCCCGGGAACGGGAGGAUGAUUGGGUCGAUUUGCGGGGUGGGUCCCGGCGCGCGCGUAGGCGCUCCGGCUCCCUGGAGUGUGACUUCCCUCGUCACCCCAGAAGUCCUAUUCCACCUCCCCAGUAACCCUCUGUGACCUUGAGGGAGGGAGACCUCCGGAGCUGUUUCCCAUCAGUCCAUGGAGGGGUCAAAGGGCAGGAGCUCUGACUCCUCCUAAGGGACCCAACUGCGUUCUGCCAGGCCAGGGUCGGGGCAUCGGGAGCCCCUGCUCUAGGCUGACGUUCCCAGGGGACGGUCCAGUGGAUGCAGGCAGCUAUUAAUGAGCGCGGACUGUGUGCCAAUCUCAGUGCUAAACAUACUUGAUUUCACUUCAUUUUCAUAAUCGGUAGCGGUGGAAAUUAUGACCCCCCCAUUCACAGGCCAGGAAAUUGAGGCUCGCAGGGAGGUGGCCUCCCAAGUGAGGAGCAGCCAGAAGGGAAACCAGGUGCUUCGCCUACUUUUCUUCAGACAUGGUGGUGGAUUGGGCCCCAGCUGCCCCAGACUCUCCACGAAGGGUCCAAGGUUUGGGGUGCCACACAUGCGGGCACCCAAGGUCAUGCUGAGACCCCACCAGAUGCCCCCACCUGAAGCACUGCCCCACCUAGGGGGGGUGUGAUCUCAUAGGCCCGCAGUGAAGCUCUUGGGGUCCAGGGCGACCACCAGAUUUAGAGAAAGUAGGUCAUUGACCCAGGAAUGUGGGAUCCACCUGCCUCGCCUAGGCUUUCCCCUGCUCCUCUCUCUAGACCCUCAGUUUCCCUGCAUUUUCUCCCAGCUUUCCCAUUCUGGACGUCUCUGAGUAUGAUGGGGGGAGGGGCAAAGUGAAUGGAGAUCCUGGGGUUGACUGUUUGCCCUCUGGAGCCCCCAGACCCUGGGAGUGAGAGCUUCCUAGGGAAGUGGUGCCCGAGGUGAACUACCUGUGGCUCAGAGCUCGGGCCCCUUGCUUCCUCGUCCUCAUCCUUUUUCAGGGCUGGAGUUGAGACCUCAUGCCAUCUCCAGGACCACCAGUGGAGUGAGGUUGUAAGGGCAUCGGCCGCAGGUGCCAGGGUGUGCAGCUGGCCUCAGGGCAAGUCUCUCUCCAGCCCUGGCUGCCCUCCUUGCCUUUCCCUUCAAUUUGUCUUCUUCACUGGGGUUCCUAAAGGCCUCUUUCUAAAAGGUCAUGUCUGACCCCAUAUCUCCACCACUUAGAAGCUUCCUGUGCACAUGAUUAGCCAGAAAGACCAGGUGGGCAGAGGAAAGGCAUUCCCCGCUGAGGAACAGUUGGAGCAAAGGUCUGGGAGUGGCUGAAGAAGGCUGGACAUGUCAGUCAGGAGGGGCCAAGGUACAUAUGUCCUUGAAUGCUGGGGCAGGUAGCUUGGGUUUGUCCUGAGGAUUUGGAAGUGAUGGCAGAAAGGGUUUGGAGGUCAGUUGGUUAGUGAAUUAUUUCAGGCAUAUGAAAAUAAUCAUAAUGAAUGCCUGGGAACCACGGUCCAUUUGAAGAAAUAACAGGUGGGUAACUCUGAAGGCCCGUGUGCCCAUCCUGCCCACCCCCUGCCAGCCCUGGGUCUUUCCCACGGUGGCAGCUGACAUUGUAACACUGUCCAUCAUGGCACCAAUCAGCCCUCGCUGCCAGCGCCUUGCUCUCUCCUCCCAAGGUUACUUUCAGACUCACUCUCUGGGGUACAUGCUGCUCUGGGUCGCCGAGGCAUCUUCUGCUGGUGGGAGCUGUCCCCUGUGCCUGGCACACGUGUGGUCUCGCAGAGCUUCUGGCUGUGAACAUCCUGCCUAUGUCUGCUUGGGGACUGUGCUGGGGCCUGGACGCAGGGACAGGGCGUGCCCCUCCACGUCAGCCUUUUAAUGCCAGAGUACGAGCAGGGGAAGGGCAGAAAGAGGGAGACACAGAAUGCGAAGCAGGCUCCAGGCUGUCAGCACAGAGCCCGACGUGGGACUCAAACUCACAGACCGCGAGAUCACGACCUGAGCCGAAGCCAGCCGCUUCACCCACUGAGCCACACAGGCGCCCGUAAGCAUGCUGGCUUCUAAUCAGCUAUUCACCAACUGUGGGACCAUAGGCUGAGUAACUCCACCUGUCUGAGCUCCAGUUUCUUAUCUGUGAAAUGAGUCAGGUGGAUUUUCAGAUCUCAAAAGGAAGCUGUUCCAAGGGGCAGGAUUGGGCAAGGGCCAGGACCUUGAGAAAGCAGAGGGAAGUAUGGGAAGUGGCCAGGACCAGGAAAGAAGAUAGGGAGACCCUACCCCCUGCCACCACCACCCCUGGGUCCUCUCCUGACUUCAACUAGCUGUGCUGGGCCAAAGCCCACCUAGUCUCCAGGGGCCUGUUGCAUGGGUGCUUGCUCCUCCCCCUCCAGCUUCUCCCCUUGGACAGCUGGGCUUGUCCCCACCUGCCCUGGCAUUCAAGGUCGCCCACAGAGCUCUCCACCCCAUCCAACCAGUCUUUCAAGGCUCAACAUGAGAUGCCAGUACAGACCAAAGACAGGAUAAAACUAAGCGAAGACAAGUGAUACCAUGGGAACCAAAGAGUCCAACAUACAUGGCAAAGGAGUGACAUUCAGAAUGUGUAAAGAUCUCCUGCAACCCAGUGAGAAAGGUUAACCCAGGAGGAAAAUGGGCAAGCAGUAUGAAUAGGCAAUUCACACGCUGGCCAACAAACACAUGAAGAUACUCAGUUUCUGUAAGAAAUCAGCAAAGAGGUACAUCUUGGGAGAGAAUACAGGUGACUACCAAGUAACAAGAAGGUCCUGGUUUCGAAGGUUAAUCACACGGCUACCAUAUGACUAAUGCACAUGUCAGUACCACGCAGCCACAGUCAAGAGCAAAGAGCCUGAGCUCCUCGUUCGUCAAGUGGAGAGAAUCUGCCACGGACAGCCGUCCUGAGGGGUAUGGAGCUCUCAUAGGACACAGCUCUGCCUGGCACCGAGUCAGCCUCCAAAACUGAGCUGUUAGGAUUCCUUUGUAAAUAUUUCAACACAAAAAUGUUAAAAGAAAAAGCAUA